GUCUCUCUUCAGCAGCACAUACACUAAAAUUGGAACAAUACAGAGACCAACAUGGCUUCUACGCAAGGAAGACAUGCACAUUCAUGAAGCAUCCACCAUUUUG
ensembl:snRNA U6 U6 spliceosomal RNA